rnacentral:lncRNA from 1 species
GUUCAGUCUUCUGGAGCUGUGCCUUUGGAGUUGUGGCAGCCCCCAGCCCAGGCCAGGACACUGCUUGAUUUGGGGGCUCGCUGGGACCCUGGCUUCAUUCUGAUGGGAGCUGCAAGCUCUAGUAGAAUCCUGCAGUCUCCAAGUUAAAUUUGAUGGAUGCCAGGAGAUUCUACAAGAUUUGGCACCAGUCCAGAGGUCAUUUCAAUGCCCAGUCCUCCACGUCUUUCCUUUGGGGGAGGUGGGGCAGCAUCACGGCCAGCUUCUUCUGGGGAAAGAGUUGCAUCACAUUCCCUACAUUCCGCAGAAGGCCACACCACCCGCCUCUUUUCUGAGAUUAGCCCAGCUGCCUGUUGGAGUGUGACAGCGCCCAGGAACGUCAAGGAGGCUCAGCAGACAGCUGCGCCUGCAGAGCCAGCGAGGAAAGCGAGCCCAGCCUCUAUGGAUGCAGGGCUCAAGACGCUUCUCAGAAUGACUUUCAAGAAUUAGACCAUCUCUUGAUUCAAGAAGGAAGUUAAUCAAUCAUAGCCUGCCAAUCAACCUUAUCAAUAUCAUGCACAAACAAUGGCCAAAAGGAGAGGAGGCGACUCCAAGAGUUUCGUGGUUCUAUGGAGAGGAAAAUCAAUGCUUCUUGCCCGCAGGGAGAGUCUCCAAAGAUGUCCACCACCAGUUUCUUCCCUCCACAUACAUGCAGGCUGCUCAACUCAACAAGCAGCCAUCGCUGGGUGGACUCUCUCUCUCCUGUCCUUGGAUUGGGGUUGGCUUUUUGACUUGCUUUGACCAGUAGAAUGUAGCCAAAGGGAAGCUGUGCCACUUCUGGGGCUCGCCUUUAAGAGUUCUGGCAGCUUCUUUCCCUCUGAAGCCACCUUCCCUAAAGGAAGUCCCAGAAACCCUGACACUCCGAGACCAUCAUGCUGUAAAGAAACCUGAACUGGCCAUGAGGUCAGGCCACGUGGAGGAACGAUGAUGUUCUGGAUGCGUGAGGGAAUCCUUGGACUUUCUAGCCCAGUUCAGCUGAAUAAGUGACCUCAGCUGAUGCCAAAAAAAAAAAAAAAAGCAGAAUGGCGCAGCUGAUCCUACUCAACACACAGAAUCAUGGGAAACAAAAAAUCAUUGCUCUUUAACAAUUAAGCUUUGGGUUGAUUUGUUAUGCAGCAAUGGAUAACUGAAAUACUUACUGAUGUGCUUUUUCCCUUUUCCUCAACUUUUUAUAAUUCUCCUCAUAUAUUUCAAUUCUUCUUUAAACUUGAGAAAGAGGGUGCCAGCCCAGUCUUGCAGGGGUUAAGUCCGUGUGCUCUGCUUCAGCAGCCCAGAGUUUGCAGGUUCUGAUCCUGGGCUUGGACCUGGCACUGCUCAUCAUGCCAUACUGUGGUGGCAUCCCACAUAAAAUAGAGGAAGAUUGCCACAGAUGUUAGCUCAGUGACAAUCUUCCUUAAGCAAAAAGAGGACGACUGGCAACAGAUGUUAGCUUGGGGCCAAUCUUCCUCACAAAAGACAAACAAAAUAAAACAAAUAAACAAAAAAAGCA